rnacentral:rRNA from 1 species
CCUACGGGUGGCAGCAGUAGGGAAUAUUGCUCAAUGGGGGAAACCCUGAAGCAGCAACGCCGCGUGGGGGAUGAAGGUUCUCGGAUUUGUAACUCCCUGUGUUGGAGGAGAUAAUGACGGUAUCUAAAGAAUAAGCACCGGCUAACUCCGUGCCAGCAGCCGCGGUAAUACGGAGGGUGCAAGCGUUACUCGGAAUCACUGGGCGUAAAGAGCGCGUAGGCGGGAUAGCAAGUCAGAUGUGAAAUCCAAUGGCUUAACCAUAGAACUGCAUUUGAAACUGUUAUUCUAGAGUAUGGGAGAGGUAGGUGGAAUUCUUGGUGUAGGGGUAAAAUCCGUAGAGAUCAAGAGGAAUACUCAUUGCGAAGGCGACCUGCUAGAACAUAACUGACGCUGAUGCGCGAAAGCGUGGGGAGCGAACAGGAUUAGAUACCCGAGUAGUC